UUUGGGAGUGAGCGCAUUGCAAUAGAGGCAAAAAUUUCGGCACAUAGAUGUAAAUACACGGCUGAUGAAACUCAAAAAAUACUGGAAUAGACAGCACAAAAGCUUAUACCGAUUCCUGUAUAUAUUUGAGGCAAAAUUCAUGAUAAAUCGGGACGAAAAUGGAGGCUUGAUAAAGUUCACGAAGCAAUAUCAAUUUCGCUGUCCAUUUACUGUAGUUGAAAUAUCUUUGUGGUUGAAAAGAGGUAAAAUAAUUGAAUUCAUAACUAAGCUAAAUCAAUUUAGAAAUAUAUAGCGUAGGUGUAGCGAUUUCAGGCAUUUGUAGUAUUAACAACAUGAGCGAAAGACUUAGCUAGAGCGUCAGACAAAUCAUAUAGUCCGGGCAAAAUAACUUUGCUGCAAUCUGGCAGUGCUGAAGAUAACUGAGUGCAUCUAGCUAUGAAUAUAAACGGCAAGGAAAAUCCCAAAAUGAUAAAUGUAGAACAAGUCAUUAAUAUUCUUCGAACUGACAUGAAGACUGACCAAAAAUAUAGUUUAGUAUUAGGAAAUGUUCAUACAUUGUAUAAAUUCUUACUCUGUAUAUUGGACAAUGCCACAUGUUGCAUGGCAUGCAUUUAUGUUAUAUGGCUUACUUUUCCAAACGUUGGGAAUGAAGAGUCGAAUUGAUACCCUUUAUCUUUACUCACUUUAAACACUACCCGUACCUCCCUUUUCAAUUUUGUGGCUAUUUGGUUUGGUCUCAGUAGACCCGGCAUGAUUAAAAGUACUAACCAGAACACUAACAUUGAAAAGGGAGUAGUGGUGAUAUUACUAAUAUGUACAUAUGUGAUAAAAUACCCUGAAGAAUAUUGCCUACAAAUACCCACCAAUUCAUUAUUUUCCAUCCUUAACCUUCUGACUGUUAGGUAAAAGCAAGGUCAGAUGACAUGGAACAUAUAACCCAGGGAGACAAUGGUGCUCAACUAUUUACUCAACUAUUGCUCACUCACAACUAACAACUACAGAA